rnacentral:rRNA from 1 species
AAACAUGGCUUUUUGCAUUUUACGUAUAAAAAGUCGGACCUGCCCAGUGACAAUUUCAACGGCCGCGGUACUCUGACCGUGCAAAGGUAGCAUAAUCAUUUGCCUUAUAAUUAAAGGCUAGAAUGAACGGUUUGACAGGAAUAACACUGUCUCUACAAAAUUAAUUAGAAUUUAACUUUUAGGUAAAGAGGCCUAAAUUUAAUUAAAAGACAGGAAGACCCUAUCGAGCUUUAAAAAAGAAAAAGAAAAAAUUAAAAUCUUCUAUAUUUAUAUAUCUUUUAAAAUUUUGGUUGGGGCGACUAAGGAACAAAUAAAGCUUCUUACUAAUACAAAAGAAAAUAGUCAUUGAUCCAAAAAUUUUGAUUAAAAGAAUUAGUUACCGUAGGGAUAACAGCAUAAUUUUCUUUAAGAGCCCGUAUCGAAAAGAAAGUUUGUGACCUCGAUGUUGGACUAGAAUAUCCUAAAGAUGCAGAAGUCUUUAAGGGUUGGUCUGUUCGACCAUUAAAAUUCUACAUGAUCUGA